rnacentral:misc_RNA from 1 species
GAUGAAGAACGUAGCGAAAUGCGAUAAGUAAUGCGAAUUGCAGAAUUUCCGUGAGUCAUCGAAUCUUUGAACGCACAUUGCGCCCACUGGUAUUCCGGUGGGCAUGCCUGUUCGAGCGUCAUUAUCCUCCCUCAAACCUCGGGUUUGGUGUUGGACCCAAGUUGUGUGAACAACUGGUCUUAAAGACAAUGACGGCGUCCGUGGGACCCUCGGUGCAACGAGCUUUUAGGAGCACGCGUCGAGUUUCAAGGACCUUCCGGGCCGGUCUCCUUUACCAUUUUACAAGGUUGACCUCGGAUCAGGUAGGAAUACCCGCUGAACUUAAGCAUACAAUAAGCGGAGGA